rnacentral:rRNA from 1 species
CGGACGGGUGAGUAAUGUCUGGGAAACUGCCCGAUGGAGGGGGAUAACUACUGGAAACGGUAGCUAAUACCGCAUAACGUCGCAGGACCAAAGAGGGGGACCUUCGGGCCUCUUGCCAUCGGAUGUGCCCAGAUGGGAUUAGCUAGUAGGUGGGGUAACGGCUCACCUAGGCGACGAUCCCUAGCUGGUCUGAGAGGAUGACCAGCCACACUGGAACUGAGACACGGUCCAG